rnacentral:rRNA from 1 species
UACGUAGGCAGCGAGCGUUGUUCGGAUUUAUUGGGCGUAAAGAGCUCGUAGGCGGUUCAGUAAGUCGGGUGUGAAAACUCUGGGCUCAACCCAGAGACGCCACCCGAUACUGCUGUGACUUGAGUACGGUAGGGGAGUGGGGAAUUCCUGGUGUAGCGGUGAAAUGCGCAGAUAUCAGGAGGAACACCAGUGGCGAAGGCGCCACUCUGGGCCGUAACUGACGCUGAGGAGCGAAAGCGUGGGUAGCAAACAGG